rnacentral:rRNA from 1 species
UACGUAGGUGGCAAGCGUUAUCCGGAAUUAUUGGGCGUAAAGAGCGCGCAGGUGGUUGAUUAAGUCUGAUGUGAAAGCCCACGGCUUAACCGUGGAGGGUCAUUGGAAACUGGUCGACUUGAGUGCAGAAGAGGGAAGUGGAAUUCCUAGUGUAGCGGUGAAAUGCGUAGAUAUUAGGAGGAACACCAGUGGCGAAGGCGGCUUUCUGGACUGUCACUGACGCUGAGGCACGAAAGCGUGGGGAGCAAACAGGAUUAGAUACCCCU